rnacentral:rRNA from 1 species
ACGAACGCUGGCGGCGUGCUUAACACAUGCAAGUCGAACGGAAAGGCCCUGCUUUUGUGGGGUGCUCGAGUGGCGAACGGGUGAGUAACACGUGAGUAACCUGCCCUUGACUUUGGGAUAACUUCAGGAAACUGGGGCUAAUACCGGAUAGGAGCUCCUGCUGCAUGGUGGGGGUUGGAAAGUUUCGGCGGUUGGGGAUGGACUCGCGGCUUAUCAGCUUGUUGGUGGGGUAGUGGCUUACCAAGGCUUUGACGGGUAGCCGGCCUGAGAGGGUGACCGGCCACAUGGGACUGAGAUACGGCCCAGACUCCUACGGGAGGCAGCAGUGGGGAAUAUUGCACAAUGGGCGGAAGCCUGAUGCAGCAACGCCGCGUGCGGGAUGACGGCCUUCGGGUUGUAAACCGCUUUCGCCUGUGACGAAGCGUGAGUGACGGUAAUGGGUAAAGAAGCACCGGCUAACUACGUG